CAAUCUGACGAGCGUUUAGAAGGUGUUUUCAUGCUGUUAAACUACUUCACUGGAAACCUAGAAAUUGGACACAGUGUGUGGAAAUUGCAAGACAUAAGUUUGAAAAGUACUUCAGUCAUAAAGGCACAACAGUUACUACAUUCUUUCCCUCUGGACACACGAUUAAAAGAUGGCACUUUAUUUUGGCAGUCCCCAAAGCGACCACCUACUCCAGUACACUUUGAUGCAAAGGACCAACU